rnacentral:rRNA from 1 species
UACGUAGGGUGCAAGCGUUUAAUCGGAAUACUGGGCGUAAAGCGUGCGCAGGCGGCUUUGCAAGACAGAUGUGAAAUCCCCCGGGCUUAACCUGGGAACUGCAUUUGUGACUGCAUAGCGUAGAGUACGGUAGAGGGGGAUGGAAUUCCGCGUGUAGCAGUGAAAUGCGUAGAUAUGCGGAGGAACACCGAUGGCGAAGGCAAUCCCCCUGGACCUGUACUGACGCUCAUGCACGAAAGCGUGGGGAGCAAACAGG